UAACGCCAUUUGAAGCUCAUCCUCACCAUGGAUGCCAACAUACGAACAAAUCGACUGUGAGCUAAGAACCAAACGAUCACGUUCGGGUGCAAGAUUUCUGGCUUUUCCUUCUUUAUAGAGCCUUCGAUCACUCCCCUCCUUCGUGCAAGAUAGCCCCGCCUCCUAACCCAGAGGAGGCUGAUGGAGGAGUUCGACGAAGCUGAUGUAUUGUGGCCCGACGAUGCUCGUGGAGCAGAUGAGCUCGCUGAGCAGCAGCAUGCCAGGCGGGGAUCACGACAGAAGGCGUCCAGCCCCGUCGAGAUCCCUUCAAGACCUCGAGCUGCUCAUCGUACGAUCCGUGACGGUAGAGAUGACGCCAAAAGUAGCAGCGGUGAUGGUGAUGAUGAUGGCAGCGGUGACCACAGAGUUCCGCCGCACAUCAUCGUGGCCCGGAGGAAGACGACCUUCUCGGUGUGCGUCGGCGACGGCAGGACGCUCAAGGGACGGGAGCUUUGCCAUGUCAGGAACUCGAUCCUCCGGAUGACCGGAUUCCUGGAGAGAUGAUCCAGGAAAGAGGACGGGAACUGCAUGAAGCGCCAGAAGCUAGUAGUGGUGGUCAUGGCUGUGAGGUACAGGCCACCCAUCUCUUCGCCGCCGUCUCCUUUCUGCUCCUUCUGAGCCCCCCUGUUUCGUCUCCUUCACCGCCCCUCCAUCUCCUCCUCAACCAAUGGAGACGGAAUUACACUUUUGUCCUAACAAGGCAUUAAUUGGGCCCAUUGAAAGCCCAAUCUCAUCAUGGAAACGAUGCUGCAUCGGUGACCGGCUAUUACCGGUUUCUCGAAUCUUAAAAGCGCAAACGGCUACCCGGACCUUUCAAAUUUCCAAAUCCCUCGUUGCCUCGGUGAUGGCGGCCAACGCUUUCCAGAGCUCUACCCCCAUGAAGACCCCCAACCCUAAGAACCAUUUCUCCGCCUCCCGGAGAGCUCCGCCGCCCAAUCAGAUGGACUCCUCCGUCUCCGCCGUCGCGGAUUUCAAGUCCCGCUUCGAGGCCUACAACCGCCUCCAGGCGGCCGCCGUCGCCUUCGGCGAGAGGCUCCCCAUCCCGGAGAUCGUGGCCCUUGGCGGCCAAUCUGAUGGCAAAAGCUCGCUACUUGAAGCCCUCCUCGGCUUCCGGUUCAACGUGCGGGAGGUCGAGAUGGGCACUCGGAGGCCUCUCGUGCUCCAGAUGGUUCACGAUCCCUCAGCCCUCGAACCCCGCUGCAGAUUCCAGGAAGAGGAUUCGGAGGAGUACGGGGGUCCAAUUGUUUUGGCUUCUGCGAUCGCUGAUCUUAUAAGAUCACGAACAGAGGCGCAUCUGAGAAAGCUCCAAGCUUCCGUUUCCUCUAAGCCAAUCGUGAUGAGAGCCGAAUAUGCCCAUUGCCCUAAUCUCACCAUCAUUGACACCCCUGGCUUUGUUCUUAAGGCAAAGAAAGGCGAGCCAGAGAGCACGCCAACUGAGAUUUUGUCAAUGGUGAAGUCACUUGCAAGCCCUCCUCAUCGUCUUCUCUUGUUCCUCCAGCAAAGCAGUGUGGAAUGGUGUUCUUCGCUUUGGUUAGAUGCAAUUCGUGAGAUUGAUCCCACUUUCAAACGGACUAUGAUAGUCGUCUCCAAGUUCGAUAACCGGUUGAAGGAAUUUACUGAACGGUGGGAAGUGGACAACUAUUUGAGCGCCAAUGGUUAUCUUGGUGAGAACAUUCGCCCAUAUUUUGUGGCACUGCCCAAGGACCGAGGCAGCGUCUCAAACGAGGAAUUUCGCAGGCAGAUUUCUCAGGUAGACGCAGAAGUACUGCGUCAUUUGCGUGAUAGUGUCAAUGGAGGAUUCGAUGAGGAAAAGUAUGGACCAUAUGUUGGAUUUAGUUGUCUCAGACAAUACUUGGAAUCUGAGCUUCAAAGGAGAUACAAGGAAGCAGCUCCUGCAACACUUGCCCUGUUAGAACAGCGUUGUAAUGAAGUCUCCAUCGAAUUAGCUCGGGUGGAAUCUAAGUUACAGGCAACCUCUGACGUUUGCCAUCUUCGGAGGUCAGCCAUGUUGCACGUAGCCUCUAUUUGCAGUCAUAUGGUGGCACUAAUUGAUGGAGCAUCAGAUCCUGCUCCUGAAGAGUGGGGUAAAACCACUGACGAAGAGCAGUCAGAUAGUGGCAUUGGCAGCUGGCCGGGAGUCACCGUGGCCGUGAAGCCUCCCAAUCACACCCUUAAACUCUAUGGUGGAGCAGCAUUUGAGAGAGCAAUGCAUGAAUUCCAAUGUGCUACAUACUCCAUCGAGUGCCCACUGGUUUCUAGAGAAAAGGUCGCAAAUAUACUGCUCGCUCAUGCCGGCAGAGGAGGGGGUGGAGGCUUAACCGAGGCAGCUGCUGAAAUAGCACGCGCAGCAGCACGAGCAUGGCUUGCUCCUCUUCUUGAUGCUGCGUGCGAGCGACUCUCUUUUGUUCUCAAGAGCCUUUUUGACUUGGCUUUGGAGCGCAAUCGAAGCCAUGACUCCGACUAUUGGAGGAAAACUGGUGAUAUGGAUGGGUAUAUCGGAUUUCAUGCUGCUCUAAGGCGUUCUUACAACAACUUCAUCCAGGAUCUCUCCAACCAAUGCAAGGAAAUAGUGCAACAUCAUCUCAGUUCAGUGACCAGCCCAUACUCCCAAGUGUGCUAUGAAAAUGAUCUUGUAGGUGAUGUUGGCAGAUUUAACCAGCUCUCUGCCACCUCAUUUGUUCUGGACCUGUCAGAUGCAAAGGAUGAAAUGGUUGCAGAUCAAGAGAACAUACCACCCAAGGAUCAACAGCAUUCAACACCUGGUAAAGCAACUGAAGCAAAGGAUGCUCUUAGGGAAAGCCAAAUGACAGUUCCUGAGACGCCUUCACCUGAUCAGCCACAAGAGGUUUAUGGGGUCAAGAAGGAUACUGUGAACUUGAUGGAUAUUGGAGGAAGAAAACGACAAGCGAGAAUCAUAACUUCUGGAAGAAAUUUGGAAGCUAACAGGAACCAAAACACUAGCAUUUUGUUUGGUGCAGGUAAUAAGGGCUCAAGAACAGGAUCAUCAUAUGCUGAGAUCUGUUCUAUGUCAGCUCAACAUUUUGCCAGGAUACGUCAGGUCCUCAUCGAGAGAAACAUUCCAUCAGCCUUGAGUGCUGGAUUCCUGACUCCCUGUCGCGAGAGGCUGUUCGUUGCGCUUGGCCUUCAGCUGUUCGCCGUGAAUGAUGAGAAGUUCAUGGACAUGUUUGUGGCGCCGGGUGCGAUCGAUGUCCUUCAAGGCGAGAGGCAGUCACUCAACAAGCGCCAAAAGGUCUUGCAAUCUUGUUUGAACGAGUUCAAGAACAUCGCCCGGGCACUCUGAGUGCAAUUCUCGCUGGCGCUGAAGCUGCUUUGGAUUUGGAAGAUGAUUCCCUGCCGAUGGAAAAGGCAUCUCUGAAGAUGCAAUCGAAAUAUCACUGUCAAUUUCUUUAUGACAGGCAAUGAACGAGUGUAGCAUCCCAAAACGAGGUGCCAGUCGUCAGGCCCCGUCGACGAGAGCUUCAUCCUCGACCCGGCCGUUCUCACCGCCAGCCAACGCCUUCUUCCCUUGUUGAGACCGGUCCGGCGAGGGAUCCGAGCGCCGGUAGCAACAUAGCAUUCGGCCCAGCGAUCAACGGUUUCGUUCUCGAGCCGUUAUAUCUCGGGAUGACAUGGGCCCAUCUCUCGGACGGCUCUGAUUAACCUAUAUAUCUCGGGAAGCAAGAAACGUGGCCGAUGACAGGAAUCUAAUCUCCGUAGUCCAAUGGGCUGUUUAAUGGGCCACCGAUUGCAUUAGUCAAUGCCGUUCUAUGCACGCCGAUUGAUCAUAUGUUUACGGUGGUGA